rnacentral:lncRNA from 1 species
ACGGGAGUCGGACUUCAUCCCCGACUCCGAUUGCGGGAAGACUUCAUCCGGAUUCCCACGGGAGCCGGACUUCAUCCCCGACUCCGACUGCAGGUAGUCUCCAUCCGGACUCCUACGGGAGACGGACUCCGGACUACUACCACAAGCGAUCUACCCCGAGCUUCUACUACAAGGGGUCUACUUCGAAUUUCUACUACGAGCAGUCCGCACCGGAUUUUCACUGUAAGCCUCCACCC